CCGGAGAUUUCCGAAUGGGGGAACCCUCUAUCCGUAAUGGGAUAGAAUCUUUACCUGAAUACAUAGGGUAUUGAAGGCAGACCCGGGGAACUGAAACAUCUAAGUACCCGGAGGAAGAGAAAGCAAACGCGAUUCCCUGAGUAGCGGCGAGCGAAACGGGAUUAGCCCAAACCAAGAGGCUUGCCUCUUGGGGUUGUAGGACACUCUACACGGAGUUACAAAGGAACGAGGUAAAUGAACAGGUCUGGAAAGGCC
rnacentral:rRNA from 1 species